rnacentral:tRNA from 1 species
GGAGAGAUGCCGGGCGGCUGAACGGACCGGUCUCGAAACCGUUGCGGGGGUAACUCCCGCCGAGGGGUUUCGAAUCCCUCUCUCUCCGCCA